CAUAGCGACUAUCGUGGCAUAUCAAUAAGCGGAGGAAAAGAAACUAACAAGGAUUCCCCUUAGUAACGGCGAGUGAAGCGGGAAGAGCUCAAAUUCGAAAUCUUCAAGGGUUCUACCUUGACGAAUUGUAGUUUAUAGAAGUGUUUGCUGUUAGUAGAGGUGGCUAAAAGUUCUUUGGAAUAGGACAUCAUAGAGGGUGAGAAUCCCGUAUUUGGUCAUCCUUUACUAGCUUUGUGAUACACUUUCAACGAGUCGGAUUGUUUGGGAAUGCAGUCCAAAAUGGGUGGUAAAUUUCAUCUAAAGCUAAAUAUUGGCGAGAGACCGAUAGCGAACAAGUACCGUGAGGGAAAGAUGAAAAGAACUUUGAAAAGAGAGUUAAACAGUACGUGAAAUUGUCAAAAGGGAAGCGUUUGACACCAGUGUUGUUUUCUCGAAAAUCAAUUAAAAAUGAUGGGAUUUUGUGUUGUAUUGACUUUAUCAGCUUUCUGCACUUUUUUCUUAUCUUUUUUAAUGCACUUUUCGUUUAACAAGUCAACAUCAGUUUCUUUUGUUGUAAAAGAGUCAUUGGAAGGUGGCUUUUCUUUCGGAGAAAAGUGUUUAUAGCCUUUGAUCUCCUGCAAUCGGAGAGACUGAGGUCUGCAGCGUAGAUCCUUUUGGGAUUAAAUUACAUUUGUGCUAAGUUAUAGCUUUUCAUAGACAACUUGUUGACUAUGUUUAAGUCAUGUAGCUUACUCGCUUAUGUAUUUUACCUACGCUUAGGAUGUUGAUAUGCAUGACUGAUAU
rnacentral:rRNA from 1 species